rnacentral:rRNA from 1 species
CCUACGGGGGGCAGCAGUGGGGAAUAUUGCACAAUGGGGGAAACCCUGAUGCAGCGACGCCGCGUGAAGGAAGACGUAUCUCGGUAUGUAAACUUCCAUCAGUAGGGAGGAAAAUGACGGUACCUGACUCAGAAUCACCGUCUAAUUACGUGCCAGCAGCCGCGGCAAUACGGAGGGGGCAAGCGUUAUCCGGAUUUACCGGGUGUAAAGGGAGCGUAGGCGGCGGUGCAAGUCAGAAGUGAAAGCUCGGGGCUCAACUCCGGGACUGCUUUUGAAACUGUAUGGCUAGAUUGCAGGAGAGGCAGGUGGAAUUCCUGGUGUAGCGGUGAAAUGCGUAGAUAUUAGGAGGAACACCAGUGGCGAAGGCGGCUUGCUAAACUGUAAAUGACGCUGAGGCUCGAAAGCGUGGGGAGCAAACAGGAUUAGAUACCCGAGUAGUC